UGACUCCAAAAUGGCAAUCGGACUAGUCCCUGGAUCAACUUGUACUAUGAGCUAUCUCCCAUAACCCUGUAUUAUUCCCAUGCCUGUUUUAUACCUAUUUGUAUUAAUAAAUCUUAUUAAAUUAUAUUAACUCAACUAGAUAUACUAGCUAUACCCUUAUUCCCCUACUAUGUUUCUAUCUCUAUAAUUACUAAUAUUUAUAUAAUUAUAUUAUCUCUAUCUUUUUGUAUAUUUCUAUUUGUUCUCAUAAAUGUUAUAUAAUAAUAUUACCCAUGUCCUUAUCCCCUAUUCCCCUUCUAUUUUUAUUAAAUCUUAUCACCUUUACCCCUUCCCUUAUUACUUUCCCUGUAUUUAUACUAGUUAAUCUUAUUUAAAAUAUUUGCCUUUUCCCCCCCUUUUUUAAUGUAUUACUUAUAUCCUUAUUUCUUAUUCCCAUGCCUAUGUUUUUUCACAAAUGAAUUAUAACUUUUAAUAACUUAUAACUUUUUAUCUUAUUUAUACAACUAAUCCUAUGCCUAUCUCUAUUUAUUUUCCUAUUUAAAACAAUCUUUUUUCCUCGAUGCAGGACUGAUGGACGACAUCAAGCGGUGCUGGAGCAGGUGAUGAUGAGGAUGCUAUGAUCUAGGUGCAUCAGGUGGAUCAGAUGCAUGGAUGAGCCUCCGAGAUACCAAGUCUGCUCACUCCUUCUGCCAAGAGCAACCUAAGUAAGAAAGUUCCACCCAAUUGAUGGAAGAAUAGAAUGGGUGGUAUCGUAUGUCUCCAUACACUCCCAGACGCCGAAGAUGUUGCAGAUCUAUACUGAGCCAAUCUGGUAUCUCAGGCUCAUCGCAGAUGGUGGACGUGAUGACCUUCUCUCUGUCAUGGCCAUCAAAGAAUGGGGACCUUCCUGUGGCCAUUUCACAUGUGAUGAUCCCGAAGGACCACCAGUCCACUGCUGAAUCAUACCCCUCUUCUUGAAAGAUCUUGAGUAGAGAUAGAUAGAUUCAUCUAGUUAAUUGUAUAAUUUCAUUUUGACUAUGGCUAGAAUGUUGCACUAAUUUGGCGUAUCUGUUUUGUGAGAUACAAGUGCAAUAUCUAAAUAGAAAGGGUUAUAUUUAG